GUACAUAGACUUUCUGUUUGUGAAGCACUUUCAUAAGUGCAUUUUUUGUGUGUAUUUAGUGAGUAUUUAGUGUAUUGAGUGAGUUAGUGCCCCACAUCAAGGGUUGAAGAAUCAUUACUAUUCAAGUCAGAAUCUGUAUAGUUAGUUACGUAACAGCGCCAUCUACUGGCAAUAGAAAUCCACUGUGAUUUAUGUUUCUUACAUUUGUAUAAUUAAAGUUGUUCUUCAUUAUGCAACUACAGUGCAUUGUGGGUAGCUAGUGCAUUCUGGGAAGGAGAGGGAAGCCACCAUACUGUCUACAACAUAUUGCAUAGCUCUCCUUGCACUCCUGCUUCUUAAACCUCCAUUAUCCUACAGCCAGCAUAUCUGUUUUACCACACACGCGCACACACAGACAUACAUCUGUGUUCCUGUUUUCUAAUUGCAACUGACCACUUACGAUCAAACAACCUGUUAUCAAUAAACAAGUUAGAUUACAA